GAUCAAGUGGUGGUUUCUCUGAGUAGCACUAGAUUGUCUGCUUCCAUCAGACAUAUGGACUCUCCUAAGACCCGGGAAGACCACAGGCAGGCUGUAAGACUACUGAAUGAAUGAAGGGGAGGCAGCAGUAGUCUUGGUUUCUGAACUUAUCGACAAUCCUUUCACUACAAGAACUACGCAGCAGAUAAAAAGCGAGCAUGUGACACACCUUCUGCUCAUUUUCCUUCUGGAGGAAAAGAAAA
rnacentral:lncRNA from 1 species